AUGGAAAUUCUCAAUGACUGUUCUGAUGUGGAUGAGAUCAAAUUCCAAGAAGAUGGUUCUUGGUGUCCGAUGAGACCGAAGAAAGAAGCUAUGAAAGUAUCCAGCCAACCAUGUACAAAAAUAGAAAGUUCAGGUGUCCUCAGUAAGCCUUGUUCAGUUACUGUAGCCGGUGAGGUAAGCAAGAAGAAAGUGGAUGUUAUCGACCUAACAAUAGAAAGCUCUUCUGAUGAAGAGGAAGACCCCCCUGCCAAAAGGAAAUGCAUCUUUAUGUCAGAAACACAAAGCAGCCCAACCAAAGGGGUUCUCAUGUAUCAGCCAUCUAUAAGGGUGCCUAGUGUGACUUCGGUUGAUCCUGCUGCUAUUCCGCCUUCAUUAACAGACUACUCAGUACCAUUCCACCACACCCCAAUAUCAAGCAUGUCAUCAGAUUUGCCAGCCCAUCAGGACUUUAAAGCAUACAGAUGUAGUUUGGGGCUGAUUUUGCCUACCAGCUGUACCUUGUGAGUUUUCCCCCCUGAAAAAAUAGGACCUACUGUAGGUUUCUGUAGAGCAGAGCUUAAUAUUUGGGGAAAUCUUUUACAUAUGUAAUAACUCAACAUUUAAAGAAUUCAAAAUUGUUUGAAUUAUCUUACUAUCAGAACUUAAACAGCCAGGCCCAUAUUACACAAUUUAAACUUUCUCCCUUCACUCUGCCUUUCUCUGUAGCCAUUGUUUUUACAUACAUUUGUACCAGUCAAAUUUAAUCAAGUUUGAAUUAGUCUCUCUUAUAUUCAUAACUUUUUCUUUGAAGGAAGUUGAUUGGGGGCGCUAACCAGGGAUCGAACUCAGGACCUUGCACUUGCCUGAGCUACAUCCCCAGCCUUGAAAUUGAAUUUGAUCUAUGACUUAUUUUUCUUCUCCUUAGUUAAGUAUUUUAAGUAAAAUUCUUACUUCAUUGGGUAAAACUUGUGUUAUUGAAAUAAUUGAUAGCUCUGUUAUCUAUCUCAGUAUAAUUUUGGCAUGUGAAAGUUUUUCAUUAACUUGAAUAAAAUUUAGUGCAAAAACAUAGGUUAAAGUAGUACCAAUCAAAAAUUUUACUAAAUAUACUUUUUUGGGGGGGGGCCGGGCAUGUAGCUCAGUGGCAGCACACCUGCCUGGCAAGUGCAAGGUCCUGAGUUCGAUCUCCAGAACCAGAAAAAAAUAUAUAUACUUUUUGUUUCUUAUGCUUUACUCCAUACAUGUUUUGGGAAUUAGUGUUUUUAAUGUUCCUCUGAAACCAGCUAGCACCCAUUAUAAAGUAUUCGUUGUAUGCAGGGGCUGAUAAUAAUGCUAAGGUAUAGGUGAGAGUUCAUGGUCCAUGACAAAAGAUAGAAGCUUAUAUGAUGUUAAUUCCUAAAUGUCACUUUAACCUUGGCUAACUUGAAGAGUAUCCAUGUAUCAUAUUGGUAUGAGUUAUAAGUAAGCAUUUGAAAAUAAUUUGUUUCUGUAAGACUUGGAAUUAAAAAUUAACCCUGAGAAAGGAUAUUGAACAUUUGUGUUUGUUAAAGUGAUCCUGGCCAUUUAGCAGUAGCAUAGAUACAAAUUUAAAAAGUCACUUGCCCUGCGAGCUUUCAAAUUAUGUGAGUCUGGAUGGUUUGUUGUUUUUUUUUAACUUGAGAGAGCUUAUAUUACUUCAACAUUGAGCUUUAUAAAGUGAGAUUUUUAAGUCUUUUAAAAAAUGUACAGAUUUGGGAAAAAUGCAGUAAAAUAUGUCUGACCCAUGUGUUUGGUAAAAUGCAUUUCAAGCUGGCAUUGAUACUGAUAUCCAUGGCUAGUAUAGUUCACUUGUCCUUUAGAAGAAUUGCUAGUUAAUUGACAAGUAUGAAUUAUAGUAUAUAGCAGUUACUACAUUUAAAUAGUUUAGUUUUUACUUUGGUUUUAUUAUUAAUGUACUAUUUUAUAAUUAGCAGUUUCUUUGGUUUAUUUUUAUGUAUAAUUGUUCUGUAAGUAGUCAUAAUGUAGUUUUUGUUUUGUAUUGAUGAAUUUAAUAAUUUUAUAAUAAAAUAUUAAAUAGAGUACCAAGAAUGGAGAGAUGACGUUUUAAUACAUUUCUUAACAUUCCUUUUAAACAUCAUAAAUAUGAAUCUUCUGAAUCUGCAGGAGAACAAAGAAGAAAUGCUAUUAAUAAUGAACUGCAGCUUGGAACAUCUUCUGAUACUGUGCAACAGUGAAUACAAAAUAAAACAUAUAAUUUGUAUUUAUGGAUUGGAAUACAGCUUGAUUAUUUCAAGAAAAAAUAUGACUGCCUUAUUAUUACUAGUGCCAUAUUGUCAGGUGCGAAUGGUGCUAAAAAGUUGUGUCGUUAAAAUUUGAAAGUGCUAAACCAUUACAUAUUUAAUCAUGUAGCAAUCAUGUUUUGUGAAAGUUACUACACUU
rnacentral:lncRNA from 1 species